rnacentral:lncRNA from 1 species
CAGCAAUUCGUAUGCACAGCCAAGUGUGAGAAGCACUGCUGUUAUAAACAUGGAUGGCAAAGAAAAGGACAGCGAUGAAAAAUGUGUUUUAAUGGCGAUCACUGCUGUUUAAAAAGAAAAGGGGGAAGGGUUAAUUAUUUAAUCUUCAGGAACCCCAGUAACUAACGAGGAGAUACAGGGAGCUAGCGGCCAUAGUCUUUACUUCUUUUUGCAACCGGUUGCAAACUCCUAAAAGGUGUUUAUAACUUCCUUCCUCUAACUUGAUAUUCCUUGGUCUGCUCGCCUCCUGCCUGCAUCUCAUUUGCUUGAUGAACCGGCCUCCAUCCUUGAGGACCUGAGCCCUUGGUGAUCCUGGCCGCACAGCAUCACGGCAGACUUCUGCCUGGGUUUACUGCUGGGCAUGAGGGUGUGGGAGGUUCUCCUCGGGAACCCUGCGUUGCAUUCAUACCCCUCGGGGGUGUGUCUGUCUGUGUGUGAGAGGACCAUCCCCCAGGGGCCAAGUGGCAGCCCUAGUCUCCCAUUCAGCCGAAGCAUGAUUGUGCCUCCUGGUGGAAAUGCUUCUCCCUUCAGUUCUAAAACCACCCGACCAUCAGAACUCAGAAUUGCCUCAACAGGAAGCAGGCAGCGGGCAUUGCGACAGGGGUGGAAGUUGCCAUCGGCGCCUCCAACUUUAGUUUCAAGACCCUUUGGGAGACACAUACCACUUCCCUUUCUGGGAACAGUGGGUGAGGAGACAGGCAAAGACAGACGGAGACAUAUAUUCUGCGGAAAACACCAGAAGUCCUGCUCGCCUGAAGCCUCCUCUGCCAAUCGGACUUCAGUGGAUCGUCCUGCAAGAGGUGGAGGGACUUGGAGUCGACAGGCCUCCCAAGACGGACUUUGCCCUCCCCCCCAGCUGCUCUCAUCUCUGGGGACAGACUGAGCCACCCCCAUGCACGUAGAGCCUGCAUCUCCCCAGGCCAAUCCCAAGCUGCAUGGUCCACAGGCAGAGUUUGCAGCCACAUAGAGCUGGCUGAACACCCUCGCCCUACAUUUUUCUGGCUGUAAAACCCUCACUGAAGCUUAGUUUCCUAAUGAGGAAAAUUAGUCUAAUAAUAUUGCCCUGAUGGGCGGUGAUGAGGAUUCUGUGGGUGACGCUGGACACGCCGUUCGGUGCUCAGACAGGACGCUUUCCUGCAGCCUUUGCUCUGGGGUCUCGGCGACACUCUAGAUGGGUUGUGAGCAUGUGAACGGGAACUCAAGGCUGAUCCCCUGAUUGUUCAAACCACUGUCGUCACCCCCUCCUGAGCUGUGUGUCAGAAGGUGGCCUUUUUGGUAAAUUUAUGAAUAGUAAGGGUUUCUCGAUGGGCUCCAAAGGGACCAAGCACCUUUUUGAGCCUUCCUUGCCUUUUAAUUUUUAAUUUUUAUUUUUAUUUUCUUUUGCUUUUUAUGACCACACCCACCGCAUAUGGAAGGUCCCAGGCUAGGGGUCGAAUUAGAGCUGCAGCUGCCAGCCUACACCACAGCCACAACAACGUGGGAUCUGAGCCGAGUCUGCAACCCAUACCACAGUUCAUGGCAAUGCUGGAUCCCUGAGCCAAUGAGCAAGGCCAGGGAUGGAACCCACAUCCUCAUGGAUACUAGUUGGAUUCACUUUCGUUGUGCCACAACGGGAACUCCUUCCUUGUCUUAAAAAAAAAAAAAAAUUAUUUUAGGCGUUCCAGUUAUGACUCAGCGAAAAGGAACCCAACUAGUAUCCAUGUGGAUUCGGGUUCCAUCCCUGCCCUUGCUCAGUGGGUUAAGGAUCCCGCCCUGCCGUGAGCUGUGGUGUAGGUUGCAGCUGAGACUCAGAUCUGGUAUUGCUGU